rnacentral:rRNA from 1 species
CCAGACUCCUACGGGAGGCAGCAGUGAGGAAUAUUGGUCAAUGGUCGGGAGACUGAACCAGCCAAGCCGCGUGAGGGAGGAAGGUACAGAGUAUCGUAAACCUCUUUUGUCAGGGAACAAAGACUGGGACGCGUCCCCGGAUGAGUGUACCUGAAGAAAAAGCAUCGGCUAACUCCGUGCCAGCAGCCGCGGUAAUACGGAGGAUGCGAGCGUUAUCCGGAUUUAUUGGGUUUAAAGGGUGCGCAGGCGGUCUGUUAAGUCAGCGGUCAAAGCCCGGGGCUCAACCCCGGCCUGCCGUCGGAACUGGGCGCCUUGAGUGGGCGAGAAGUAUGCGGAAUGCGUGGUGUAGCGGUGAAAUGCAUAGAUAUCACGCAGAACCCCGAUUGCGAAGGCAGCAUACCGGCGCCCUACUGACGCUGAGGCACGAAAGUGCGGGUAUCGAACAGGAUUAGAUACCCUUGUA